CAAAAAAAAAGUGUGAAUUACAUCACAUAAAUUAUAUCACAAAAAUAAAUGAUGCUAUUUUAAAUUACUUAUUUACAAAUGAUGUGAAUAUACCUAUUUUUAAAUCAAUUAUAAUAACUGAUGUUUUAUUAAUUAAUUUAACAUCAUUUCAGAAAAAUGAUAUUAUUUUUUUUGUUAAUUUGUAUCACUUAAAUGAAAUUGAUGCUAUCAUAUAAAUUUAUAUCGAUUAAAUAACUGAUGCAUUUAUUAUUUUAGUUAACAUCAGUUAUUAACAUGAUACAUAAUUUAGAUCAAUUAGAAAACUGAUGCUAACAAAAAUUUAUAAUAAUCCUUUUCUUUAACAUCAAUUUAAUAAAAUGAUGUUAUUUUAUUUUAAUUUGCAUCAGUUAAAAUAUUUGAGCUAGUAAAAAAAUAAUUUAUAUCGAGAACAAAAUUUGUAAAACUACAAUAUUAUUAUAGAAUAAACACAUAACUAUUAAAAAGUAGCAAAUGUGAUUGUUACAAUCCCCCAAAAAUAGGAACCACCAUUACAAGUUCAAAUAGAGUAAACCACUUAAACCCAAUGUAAUUAGAGAAGUAGUUAUUAUUCUUUUCUGUGAAGAUCUUCCUAUUCGUCACACUCUCUCAAAUCUCUUUCAUCAGUUUUUUUGUUCUCUGUUAUUUGAUUAAAAGCAUUUUCUCAACAUGAAUCAAGUAUUCUUAUAUGAAUCAUGAUGAUUAUGAUUGUGUUUCUGUUUAUAGAAGAUUUGAAAGGAAGAUUUUGCUUUUCUUAAAAAUCUGAUGAAAAAUUCUUGAUAGGUUUCAGAAGCAAUUGGAUUUGAUCAUGUUUCUUUGUUGUCUGCUACUUAGGAGUAACAAGCUCCACGCCAUUAUCAUUUUCCAUGGCCAAUUGAAGACAAAAUGAAGAAGAAGAA